rnacentral:rRNA from 1 species
CGUAGGUAACCUACCUCUUAGCGGGGGAUAACUAUUGGAAACGAUAGCUAAUACCGCAUAAAAGUCGGCAUUGCAUGAUGUUGACUUGAAAGGUGCAAAUGCAUCACUGGGAGAUGGACCUGCGUUGUAUUAGCUAGUUGGUGAGGUAACGGCUCACCAAGGCGACGAUACAUAGCCGACCUGAGAGGGUGAUCGGCCACACUGGGACUGAGACACGGCCCAG